CGCCGACGUCGCUUCCUCCCCCAGCGCCGCCCGACGUUCACUCCGCCUAGGGGACCGCCUACCCCCAUAGGCGAGGCGGGACCCCCUCGCCUAGAGCUUAAGCGCGCCUAGGCGGCCGCCUAAUUCCGCCUUUUUGAACAUUGAUUCUGGGCAGAUUCAAAGUUCUGUUUUCGACUGCAGUUUUGACCAUAUUAGGGCCAUAACAAAAAUAAGGGUUCUUCAUGAAAGUUUUAGGUUUUCCUCUGUAGUUUUGGAAUAUCUAUUUGUUUGGCACCUCAUUCAUUGUAUAAAAUAGAUAUGAAAAAGAGAAGCAUUGUUGCUCUUCAUCGAUGUUGGUGACAAGAAUUGUUGUUCGGAGGUGCCCCUUUUGGAUUGAGGUGAUGUCGCUGCGAGGCACCUAUGACAUGUCUACAUGCUCGGUAAAGACAAGUGAACGUAGCGGUUGCGUUGCUACAACUUUAACAUUCUAUUUUUACUGCCUUCACUUAUAAAAUACAACACACAUAAGUGAUGAUAUAACAAAUUUGGACAUGACUCAUAAUGACUGGGUGAAAUACGAAAUGUUGUUGCUAAUAUAAAUCUAGAGGUAACGUGACUUUUUACUUCAUCAUGGGUGGAUAGAUAAAUGAGGUGGUGUAUAUGUGACGGAUUUUGAAUUUAUGGCCGGGGAUGAUUUACAUAUGACUUAUACUUAGUAAUUUAUCCUAUGGUAUGUUUUUCCGUGAGUAAAAUCUUUGGAAUCCUUGAAGGUUUACUAAUGAGUGGGCUUGUUAUAAUAGAGGUUAUUAUGCUAAUCUUGGUGUAUGAAAAUCUCUGUGGCAUUUACGUCUCCUAGUGCUAUCGUGUGUGGAUAAAUUGGAGUUUGCAUUACGAGCAAGGUUCGAAGUAGUAUCUUACUAUUAUUUGGUAUAUGUGUUCAAAUAUAUGGAUUGAAUCUUGAGCUGACCGGCUCUACAUAGAAAUGUUUUUAUAUGAUAGAUAUGCUUGGGGCUUGGAAUAUGGAAUUAUUCUUUUAUAUGUUUAAAUUGAUAAUGGCUACAUAUUAUCCUAAUUCUGUUAAGACUAGAGAGAUCUAUAGAUAUAAUCGUAUGAAUAACUGUUUGAUUGAUGUUUGCAACACAUGAUUAUUCAGUCAUUGUUGGUUGAUGUUUGCGCCAUAUAAAUAUUCAAGCGUGGUUGGUUGGUGUUUGAAACAUAUAAUUAUUGAGUCAUGGUUGGUUGAUAUUUGAAAUAUAUAAUUACAGAGUAAUGGUUGGUUGGUGUUUGGAACAUAUAACUAUUCAAUCAUGGAUGGUGUUGUUUAUGUUGCGGGAGUACUGUUUUCAUUUCUGGUAUUAACUAUCAUGAAUUAUUUUCUCUUUCCAUCAUGUAGUACAGGGUAUUUGAUUUUGGAGUAUAUGAUACCUGGCUUUGGAGAUCCUGUUGCAUUACAUUGCACUGCAUUACAAGGCAUUUGGAGUUAUGUCGCGAACCUAUGGUUGCAACUGUACCGGUACAACAUCAUUUAUUGGGCAUAACAAUGCAGCUUCAUACCUUGUUGUGUAUGAAUGCAGGAGUUCAUAUGCAUCCAUAUGCAUACAUCAUUGGUUUGGCAUAAAGGUGCAGCUUCAUACCUUGAUGGGUAUGAAGGCAAGAGUUCAUGUGCAUUGAUUUGCAUUUUUGGCCGAAUGUUGGACAUGAUGGAGAUAUAGUAUCACAUAUAGAUACUGUGGCCUAUGGUGACAUGCACUGCGAUGUGGCUUGUGAGAGUUGGAUAUAUACCAUAUGUGUGCCUCUUACGUUCACUGUUUUAUGGUAUGGAUGUUUGGAUAUAGGUGGAUAUGGUUGCCAUGAAAAUAAUUUGAUAAUGAUACUUCUACAUAGUGAUGGGUGUCUUGUAUAACUUGAGGGAUUAUGGAUAUAUUGCACAUGUUGUUCCCUUGCAUUCCUUUGCACCUUAA